rnacentral:snRNA from 1 species
GACGGCGCGGUUGGGCUAAUCAGCAUUCACCUUGCCUUUUACCAGAUGAAUCCUUGGCCCACCGCAACCAGCCGCAUUAUCAAAUCUUUGGGACCAUUAGUUCGUGAUGAAC